rnacentral:rRNA from 1 species
CCCUUAGGCGUUCUGGGCCGCACGCGCGCUACACUGACGAAGGCAACGAGCUUUCCUUUACCGAAAGGUACGGGUAAUCUUUUGAAACUUCGUCGUGCUGGGGAUAGAUCCUUGCAAUUUUUGAUCUUAAACGAGGAAUGCCUAGUAAGCGCAAGUCAUCAACUUGCGUUGAUUACGUCCCUGCCCUUUGUACACACCGCCCGUCGCUACUACCGAUUGAAUGGUUUAGUGAGGCCUUCGGAUCCGCGACUCGUUUGUGGAGAAGUUGGACAAACUCAGUCAUUUAGAGGAAGUAAAAGUCGUAACA